AGCGGCUCGGCCGGAUCCCAGUGCGCCUGAUGGGUGAACACCAUCGGGUCGUAGAAGUGGAUGGCAUAGACGACGUUCGGAUCGUCGAGCGGCUU
rnacentral:tRNA from 1 species